GGUUAAGCGACUAAGCGUACACGGUGGAUGCCCUGGCAGUCAGAGGCGAUGAAGGACGUGCUAAUCUGCGAUAAGCGUCGGUGAGGUGAUAUGAACCGUUAUAACCGGCGAUUUCCGAAUGGGGAAACCCAGUGUGAUUCGUCACACUAUCAUUAACUGAAUCCAUAGGUUAAUGAGGCGAACCGGGGGAACUGAAACAUCUAAGUACCCCGAGGAAAAGAAAUCAACCGAGAUUCCCCCAGUAGCGGCGAGCGAACGGGGAGGAGCCCAGAGCCUGAAUCAGUGUGUGUGUUAGUGGAAGCGUCUGGAAAGGCGCGCGAUACAGGGUGACAGCCCCGUACACAAAAAUGCACAUGCUGUGAGCUCGAUGAGUAGGGCGGGACACGUGGUAUCCUGUCUGAAUAUGGGGGGACCAUCCUCCAAGGCUAAAUACUCCUGACUGACCGAUAGUGAACCAGUACCGUGAGGGAAAGGCGAAAAGAACCCCGGCGAGGGGAGUGAAAAAGAACCUGAAACCGUGUACGUACAAGCAGUGGGAGCACAGAGCAAUCUGUGUGACUGCGUACCUUUUGUAUAAUGGGUCAGCGACUUAUAUUCUGUAGCAAGGUUAACCGAAUAGGGGAGCCGAAGGGAAACCGAGUCUUAACUGGGCGUUAAGUUGCAGGGUAUAGACCCGAAACCCGGUGAUCUAGCCAUGGGCAGGUUGAAGGUUGGGUAACACUAACUGGAGGACCGAACCGACUAAUGUUGAAAAAUUAGCGGAUGACUUGUGGCUGGGGGUGAAAGGCCAAUCAAACCGGGAGAUAGCUGGUUCUCCCCGAAAGCUAUUUAGGUAGCGCCUCGUGAAUUCAUCUCCGGGGGUAGAGCACUGUUUCGGCAAGGGGGUCAUCCCGACUUACCAACCCGAUGCAAACUGCGAAUACCGGAGAAUGUUAUCACGGGAGACACACGGCGGGUGCUAACGUCCGUCGUGAAGAGGGAAACAACCCAGACCGCCAGCUAAGGUCCCAAAGUCAUGGUUAAGUGGGAAACGAUGUGGGAAGGCCCAGACAGCCAGGAUGUUGGCUUAGAAGCAGCCAUCAUUUAAAGAAAGCGUAAUAGCUCACUGGUCGAGUCGGCCUGCGCGGAAGAUGUAACGGGGCUAAACCAUGCACCGAAGCUGCGGCAGCGACGCUGAUGCGUUGUUGGGUAGGGGAGCGUUCUGUAAGCCUGUGAAGGUGUGCUGUGAGGCAUGCUGGAGGUAUCAGAAGUGCGAAUGCUGACAUAAGUAACGAUAAAGCGGGUGAAAAGCCCGCUCGCCGGAAGACCAAGGGUUCCUGUCCAACGUUAAUCGGGGCAGGGUGAGUCGACCCCUAAGGCGAGGCCGAAAGGCGUAGUCGAUGGGAAACAGGUUAAUAUUCCUGUACUUGGUGUUACUGCGAAGGGGGGACGGAGAAGGCUAUGUUGGCCGGGCGACGGUUGUCCCGGUUUAAGCGUGUAGGCUGGUUUUCCAGGCAAAUCCGGAAAAUCAAGGCUGAGGCGUGAUGACGAGGCACUACGGUGCUGAAGCAACAAAUGCCCUGCUUCCAGGAAAAGCCUCUAAGCAUCAGGUAACAUCAAAUCGUACCCCAAACCGACACAGGUGGUCAGGUAGAGAAUACCAAGGCGCUUGAGAGAACUCGGGUGAAGGAACUAGGCAAAAUGGUGCCGUAACUUCGGGAGAAGGCACGCUGAUAUGUAGGUGAGGUCCCUCGCGGAUGGAGCUGAAAUCAGUCGAAGAUACCAGCUGGCUGCAACUGUUUAUUAAAAACACAGCACUGUGCAAACACGAAAGUGGACGUAUACGGUGUGACGCCUGCCCGGUGCCGGAAGGUUAAUUGAUGGGGUCAGCGCAAGCGAAGCUCUUGAUCGAAGCCCCGGUAAACGGCGGCCGUAACUAUAACGGUCCUAAGGUAGCGAAAUUCCUUGUCGGGUAAGUUCCGACCUGCACGAAUGGCGUAAUGAUGGCCAGGCUGUCUCCACCCGAGACUCAGUGAAAUUGAACUCGCUGUGAAGAUGCAGUGUACCCGCGGCAAGACGGAAAGACCCCGUGAACCUUUACUAUAGCUUGACACUGAACAUUGAGCCUUGAUGUGUAGGAUAGGUGGGAGGCUUUGAAGUGUGGACGCCAGUCUGCAUGGAGCCGGCCUUGAAAUACCACCCUUUAAUGUUUGAUGUUCUAACGUUGGCCCCUGAUCGGGGUUGCGGACAGUGUCUGGUGGGUAGUUUGACUGGGGCGGUCUCCUCCUAAAGAGUAACGGAGGAGCACGAAGGUUGGCUAAUCCUGGUCGGACAUCAGGAGGUUAGUGCAAUGGCAUAAGCCAGCUUGACUGCGAGCGUGACGGCGCGAGCAGGUGCGAAAGCAGGUCAUAGUGAUCCGGUGGUUCUGAAUGGAAGGGCCAUCGCUCAACGGAUAAAAGGUACUCCGGGGAUAACAGGCUGAUACCGCCCAAGAGUUCAUAUCGACGGCGGUGUUUGGCACCUCGAUGUCGGCUCAUCACAUCCUGGGGCUGAAGUAGGUCCCAAGGGUAUGGCUGUUCGCCAUUUAAAGUGGUACGCGAGCUGGGUUUAGAACGUCGUGAGACAGUUCGGUCCCUAUCUGCCGUGGGCGCUGGAGAACUGAGGGGGGCUGCUCCUAGUACGAGAGGACCGGAGUGGACGCAUCACUGGUGUUCGGGUUGUCAUGCCAAUGGCACUGCCCGGUAGCUAAAUGCGGAAGAGAUAAGUGCUGAAAGCAUCUAAGCACGAAACUUGCCCCGAGAUGAGUUCUCCCUGACUCCUUGAGAGUCCUGAAGGAACGUUGAAGACGACGACGUUGAUAGGCCGGGUGUGUAAGCGCAGCGAUGCGUUGAGCUAACCGGUACUAAUGAACCGUGAGGCUUAACCUU
rnacentral:rRNA from 1 species